GUCCCCCUGCGAUGUGCGUGAUUAGCAUUCUGUUUUUGAGCCAACACCAAGGAAACGGGAACCUUCCCUUGUUUGGGGUGUGCUAGCCUGCUGUAUUCCGCAACUGGCGGAUGCAAGGAAGCCUGAAGCAAACAAUAAGGUACCCACGUUGAACUCCGGUUCAAAAUGGUCGUUAACACGACAUAUGCGGGGGUUCU
rnacentral:other from 1 species